rnacentral:rRNA from 1 species
GAUGAACGCUGGCGGCGUGCCUAAUACAUGCAAGUAGAACGCUGAAGGAAGGAGCUUGCUCUUUCCGGAUGAGUUGCGAACAGGUGAGUAACGCGUAGGUAACCUGCCUGGUAGCGGGGGAUAACUAUUGGAAACGAUAGCUAAUACCGCAUAACAGUAGAUAUUGCAUGAUAUCUGCUUGAAAGGGGCAAUUGCUCCACUACCAGAUGGACCUGCGUUGUAUUAGCUAGUUGGUGAGGUAACGGCUCACCAAGGCGACGAUACAUAGCCGACCUGAGAGGGUGAUCGGCCACACUGGGACUGAGACACGGCCCAGACUCCUACGGGAGGCAGCAGUAGGGAAUCUUCGGCAAUGGACGGAAGUCUGACCGAGCAACGCCGCGUGAGUGAAGAAGGGUUUCGGAUCGUAAAGCUCUGUUGUAAGAGAAGAACGAGUGUGAGAGUGGAAAGUUCACACUGUGACGGUAUCUUACCAGAAAGGGACGGCUAACUACGUG